CAUUGGGAAGUAAAGGGAGAGCUCCCUCCUCUCCACUGACAGCCAAGGAGGUUCCAGGAGUGCUCUUCUAAUUGAGCAGAAUGUUUGAGGCUCAGUGUUUGAGAAUGAUUAGACAAGAACUCAAUUAUAGGCCUCACUGCAACAGUGAUGGUACAGCAGGAAUCUAGUUGCUAUGCAGAUGUGGAGGCUCUCUCUGAUGCUCUGGAAUGUGCAUGGGGAGUUAUGUGCAGAAGAAGGAGCUGAUUACCUUGAGGAAUGGAAAAAAAGAGAGGAAUAACCAGAGAGUACUGAAGAAAACCCAGGCAGCAGAAGGUAGAGGUCAGCAUUUGGUAGCCCUCAAACUAUGUGGUGAGUCUUAGUCCAGCUCCCUGUGCCUGACCCUCAUGGUCAGUGAUGCUGAAAUGAGAGGGCCAUUCCCUGUCAGUGCCGCUUUCCUGGGACACGUUUCAGCUCUAUGCAUCUGUAUGUAUACACUGCUGUGGAGGAGGAGACUGUGAGUUCAUAAAGGCACCCUGUGAAUUGCAGAGAAUGGUCUUGUCAACACCUGUCCUUCCAAACCCUCACUCCCACAGUGCUUUUUUCAAGUAUAUUUAAAGCUCCCUUUCACAUACAUGCAGAGAAGAUCAGCAAAAAGGCACUGGGAAAUGAGAAGAACAAAACCACAGUGCUUGUGCUCAUUCAAAGAACCCUGCUUUGCCUUGCUGCAUUCCAUGCUAAAAGCAGACCUAGCACAGCAAAGAAGAGCGAAGUUGCUACAAAGCCUUUACCAACCUCACAGGGACAUGGUGAGGAUUAAUUAAUUG
rnacentral:lncRNA from 1 species